GGGCCCACAGGAUGGAUGGAUGGGAGGCACCACGUAGCUUCUUCGGGCUGUGCCCGACCGGGCUCCGUGGCAAACCCGGCCACCAGGCGCUCGCUGUCGGGCCCUCCCUCUGGGCCUGGCUCCAGACGGGGGCCCCGGGCUUCCUCCGGGCAGGGUCUCUCCUUUCCUUUCCCUUUCUUUCAUGAAGUCGUUUUUGAACCAUUCUUAGUCUGGCCCCUCGCCUGAGACCAAUUUGCCUUGGGAGACCCUACCAGGAGCACUAGGCUCCAGACAACACAGCUCUCAGGUUCAUAGGGACACACAAACCUCUCCACCACGAUAAGGUGAUGGUUCCCAGAGAGGCUUAGACAUGGCUUAGACAUGUAUGCACAUAAUUUAGGAGAGGGUAACUCAACUGUUAUAGACUAAUAUGACCCCAAGGAACAACUUGGGAUGUGUGCCAAAUUCACUAUACACAGCCCUAAAAUGACCACACCCUUUUUUUAAUGACCACUCCUCUUUUUCAUCGGAAUUGCUGCUUCCGACAUAGCUGUGCUACGCUACAAGGUCCAGCGAGAGUGAGAGAACGAUUUAUCGAUCCAGUGUCGCAAAGAUAAUAUCUCACUGAAGUAAAGUGAGAAAAAUGGAUGAGGUACAUCUCGCUGCUCCUUGUGCUACACCCAAGCCUAAACCGAUCCAUCUCGAUGAGUGCAUCCUAUGUCAGAAGAAGAAGUGAUCUGAGUACCUAUGUAGUGGUGAAAUCGGCAGGGGUGAUAUUGUUUCGCUUGCCAAACAAUCAGAGAGUAAUGACACUCGAGCUGCUAGGGUUCUUCAACUGACAGUGCAAGAGCAGGAUUGUGUGCAUGUGACGUCAUGCUUACGUCCCAACCCGUAAAUCAGCCAUGUUGGAUGAUAUACACAACCAAGACGGCGCCCGUUCGCAUGUGAGUUGCUGCAACGCUUCGUAAUUUUCUUUGUAUUUAAACGUCUAAGAUUGAAAGAAAAUGCCAAUCGUGUGCGCAGUGUAUAAUUGUGGUCAUAACACUACUCGUGACCCAGAGAAACGGUUCUUUAGAUUUCCUACAAUCAUCAAAAACAACGAUCCACAAAAGAGGGAUGAAUUGCUGUCUACCGAACGCCGUAAGCUGUGGUUUAGCAACAUAACUUGUGAAGAUUUAACAGAAGAAGCACAAUUCACCCGUGUGUGUGGCGUCAACUUUAUAUCUGCAAGAAAGAGGUUUCCCCCUGUCUGGGAACAUUUUGAGCUGAUCUCGCCUGACAAGGUAUGCACAUAG
rnacentral:lncRNA from 1 species